rnacentral:rRNA from 1 species
UACGGGGGGGGCAAGCGUUGUUCGGAAUUACUGGGCGUAAAGGGCUCGUAGGCGGCCAACUAAGUCGGACGUGAAAUCCCCAGGCUCAACCUGGGAACUGCGUCCGAUACUGGAUGGCUUGAAUCCGGGAGAGGGAUGCAGAAUUCCAGGUGUAGCGGUGAAAUGCGUAGAUAUCUGGAGGAACACCGGUGGCGAAGGCGGGUCUCUGGGCCGUAACUGACGCUGAGGAGCGAAAGCGUGGGGAGCGAACAGG